rnacentral:rRNA from 1 species
CCCUUAGAUGUCCUGGGCCGCACGCGCGCUACACUGAUGCAUGCAACGAGUUUAUAACCUUGGCCUGAAAGGUCUGGGUAAUCUUUUGAACGUGCAUCGUGAUAGGGAUAGAUUAUUGCAAUUGUUAAUCUUGAACGAGGAAUUCCUAGUAAACGCGAGUCAUCAGCUCGCAUUGAUUACGUCCCUGCCCUUUGUACACACCGCCCGUCGCACCUACCGAUUGACUGGUUCGGUGAAGAUCUCGGACUUCGAUAUUUAUUCUUUAUUGAGUUUAUAUUGUGGGAAGUUAUCUAAACCUCAUCAUUUAGAGGAAGGUGAAGUCGUAACA